rnacentral:miRNA from 1 species
UCCUGUGGUGUUUGGUGUGGUU